ensembl:rRNA 5S_rRNA 5S ribosomal RNA
AACAGCAGCCAUGUCACCCUGCAACUCACAACUGGCAACCCACUGAAGCUAAGCAGGUGUGAGCCUGGUCAGUACCUGGAUGGGAGACCUCCUGGGAAAAACUAAGGUUGCUGCUGGAA